rnacentral:rRNA from 1 species
GCGUUAAGAGAAGUGGGGGAAGGGGGAGCUAUAUGCAAGUCGAGGCGGACUUGCUGGAGCUUGCUCCAGCAGGUUAGCGGCGGACGGGUGAGUAACACGUGGGCAACCUGCCUGUAAGACUGGGAUAACUCCGGGAAACCGGAGCUAAUACCGGAUAGUAUCUUGAACCGCAUGGUUCAAGUUGGAAAGACGGUUUCGGCUGUCACUUACAGAUGGGCCCGCGGCGCAUUAGCUAGUUGGUGAGGUAAUGGCUCACCAAGGCAACGAUGCGUAGCCGACCUGAGAGGGUGAUCGGCCACACUGGGACUGAGACACGGCCCAGACUCCUACGGGAGGCAGCAGUAGGGAAUCUUCCGCAAUGGACGAAAGUCUGACGGAGCAACGCCGCGUGAGUGAUGAAGGUUUUCGGAUCGUAAAACUCUGUUGUUAGGGAAGAACAAGUGCGAGAGUAACUGCUCGCACCUUGACGGUACCUAACCAGAAAGCCACGGCUAACUACGUGCCAGCAGCCGCGGUAAUACGUAGGUGGCAAGCGUUGUCCGGAAUUAUUGGGCGUAAAGCGCGCGCAGGCGGUUUCUUAAGUCUGAUGUGAAAGCCCCCGGCUCAACCGGGGAGGGUCAUUGGAAACUGGGAAACUUGAGUGCAGAAGAGGAGAGUGGAAUUCCACGUGUAGCGGUGAAAUGCGUAGAGAUGUGGAGGAACACCAGUGGCGAAGGCGACUCUCUGGUCUGUAACUGACGCUGAGGCGCGAAAGCGUGGGGAGCGAACAGGAUUAGAUACCCUGGUAGUCCACGCCGUAAACGAUGAGUGCUAAGUGUUAGAGGGUUUCCGCCCUUUAGUGCUGCAGCUAACGCAUUAAGCACUCCGCCUGGGGGAGUACGGUCGCAAGACUGAAACUCAAAAGGAAUUGACGGGGGGCCCCGCACAAGCGGUGGAGCAUGUGGUUUUAAUUCGAAGCAACGCGAAAGAACCUUACCCAGGUCUUGGACAUCCCUUUGGCCACUUCUAGGAGAAUAGAAGGUUCCCCUUUCGGGGGGACAAAAUGAACAGGGUGGUGCAUGAUGUCGUUCAAGCCUCGGUGGUCGGUGAGAAUGGUUGGGUAAGUCCCCCGCAAACCGAGCGCAAACCUGGAAUCCUAAGUUGCACAAGCCAUUCAGGUUGGGGGCCAACCAUCUCUUACG